UGAGGAAUAUUGGUCAAUGGACGCAAGUCUGAACCAGCCAAGUAGCGUGAAGGAUGACUGCCCUAUGGGUUGUAAACUUCUUUUAUAUGGGAAUAAAGUGCGCCACGUGUGGUGUUUUGUAUGUACCAUUAUGAAUAAGCAUCGGCUAACUCCGUGCCAGCAGCCGCGGUAAUACGGAGGAUGCGAGCGUUAUCCGGAUUUAUUGGGUUUAAAGGGAGCGUAGGUGGGCUGGUAAGUCAGCUGUGAAAGUUUGCGGCUCAACCGUAAAAUUGCAGUUGAUACUGUCAGUCUUGAGUACAGUAGAGGUUAGCGGAAUUCGUGGUGUAGCGGUGAAAUGCUUAGAUAUCACGAAGAACUCCAAUUGCGAAGGCAGCUGACUAGACUGUUACUGACACUGAUG
rnacentral:rRNA from 1 species